GACGAACGCUGGCGGCGUGCUUAACACAUGCAAGUCGAACGGAAAGGCCCUGCUUUUGUGGGGUGCUCGAGUGGCGAACGGGUGAGUAACACGUGAGUAACCUGCCCUUGACUUUGGGAUAACUUCAGGAAACUGGGGCUAAUACCGGAUAGGAGCUCCUGCUGCCUGGUGGGGGUUGGAAAGUUUCGGCGGUUGGGGAUGGACUCGCGGCUUAUCAGCUUGUUGGUGGGGUAGUGGCUUACCAAGGCUUUGACGGGUAGCCGGCCUGAGAGGGUGACCGGCCACAUUGGGACUGAGCUACGGCCCAGACUCCUACGGGAGGCAGCAGUGGGGAAUAUUGCACAAUGGGCGGAAGCCUGAUGCAGCAACGCCGCGUGCGGGAUGACGGCCUUCGGGUUGUGAACCGCUUUCGCCUGUGACGAAGCGUGAGUGACGGUAAUGGGUAAAGAAGCACCGGCUAACUACGUG
rnacentral:rRNA from 1 species